CAUCUCUGCAGCCUUGUUGGGUGGGUGUGUGUCCGGGUGGCUCCGUGUCUGUUUCCGAAAGUGACUCUAGGUGUGACCGUGUGUGUGAUGGUGUGACUGUGGGUACCACUAACUGUUCUGCGUGUAUGUGACACACUGUGCGUGUGGCUAGAUGGUGCUGUCUACGUGACUGUGUUUCUGGACCUGGACUAGGAUGCGCACAAAAUGGACUGGACCUGUCUUGCUCUGCAGAAGCCUCACAGCCCCAAGUUCUUAACGUCUAGACCAGCUGCCUCCAGUGGCUUCCUCCUGACCUGGCACUGGCACUUGCAUCCUUGGCUGGCCGGGCUCCUCACUUCCCACCUCCCUCGACGUCUUUCUCCUUUGUCCUUCUCCUCUCUCUUCUGCCCCACUCCCCUCCAACUUUGUCUCAAACUAUCCUCACCCCACACCCAGGUCUGCUGUCCCUCUGUCUCGCUCAGCCUCCCUCUCUCGGAGGCCCUCCGCCUUGCCUCUGCCUCCCUGCCCCUCCGGAGUGCGGGUGUCCCCGAGCUGGUGGGGUGGGCAGAGGGCAGGAGUCUUACCACGAGGAAAGGACCCGCCCCCUCCAGCACCUCCAGGAUGGCCGAGCAGGUCCUGAGGACUCAGGGUCUGCGGUGGGAGGGUCCUGCCGAGGGGGCGCUGGUUGGGUCUGUCCUGGGGUUCGAGGACAGAGGGUCCCGGUGGGGCUAGGAGGGGGCGGAACCUCGCGGCACUCCCCUCCCCCACUUUCUUAAAGGGCCCGGUGCGGGGCCGCGUGGGACAGGGUUGGUCGCGCCCUCCCCACCAGCGUUGG
ensembl:lincRNA